rnacentral:rRNA from 1 species
GGCCGCGGGAAUUCGAUUCAGGCCUAACACAUGCAAGUCGAGCGGGGUUUUCGGACCUAGCGGCGGACGGGUGAGUAAUGCGUAGGAAGCUACCCGAUAGAGGGGGAUACCAGUUGGAAACGACUGUUAAUACCGCAUAAUGUCUACGGACCAAAGUGUGGGACCUUCGGGCCACAUGCUAUCGGAUGCGCCUACGUGGGAUUAGCUAGUUGGUGAGGUAAUGGCUCACCAAGGCGACGAUCCCUAGCUGGUUUGAGAGGAUGAUCAGCCACACUGGAACUGAGACACGGUCCAGACUCCUACGGGAGGCAGCAGUGGGGAAUAUUGGACAAUGGGCGCAAGCCUGAUCCAGCAAGGCCGCGUGUGUGAAGAAGGCCUUCGGGUGUAAAUUAAAGGGAGUUGGGAGGAAGGGUUG